GUAGGUGGCAAGCGUUGUCCGGAAUUAUUGGGCGUAAAGCGCGCGCAGGCGGUCCUUUAAGUCUGAUGUGAAAGCCCACGGCUCAACCGUGGAGGGUCAUUGGAAACUGGGGGACUUGAGUACAGAAGAGGAAAGCGGAAUUCCAAGUGUAGCGGUGUAAUGCGUAGAGAUUUGGAGGAACACCAGUGGCGAAGGCGGCUUUCUGGUCUGUAACUGACGCUGAGGCGCGAAAGCGUGGGGAGCAAACAGGGAUUAGAUACCCUGGUAGUCCACGCCGUAAACGAUGAGUGCUAAGUGUUAGGGGGUUUCCCGCCCCUUAGUGCUGCAGCUAACGCAUUAAGCACUCCGCCUGGGGAGUACGGCCGCAAGGCUG
rnacentral:rRNA from 1 species